GCGCCUGAGCUCUUCUGAUUAGGGCGCUGUCUACGGACCAGAAGGUUAGGGGUUCGAGUCCCUUCGGGCGCA
rnacentral:tRNA from 1 species